AGACUGCGCGCCGCCUGAGGUGACCACCGCGCUGCGGUGGUUGAAACGGGAAUCCGGUGCGCACCGUGUCUGGUCGACAUGGCUGCAAUUCCGGAGCUGCCCCCGCAACGGUAAGUGUUGAGCCAGGAAGGCUCGGGACCGGCGAAUGCCACUGUGCGCAGAGCAUGGGAAGGCGCCGUCCCGGACGCGAACGAGCGUCCACGCACGAGCCCGGAGACCGGCCCAAGGCAUGACCCGACA
rnacentral:ncRNA from 2 species